UACUGUCAGGACUGCUGUGAGCCUCAAAUA
rnacentral:piRNA from 1 species